rnacentral:rRNA from 1 species
AGUGAACGCUGGCGGUAGGCCUAACACAUGCAAGUCGAACGGCAGCACAGUAAGAGCUUGCUCUUACGUGUGGCGAGUGGCGGACGGGUGCUUAAUACAUCGGAAUCUACUUUUUCGUUGGGGAUAACGUAGGGAAACUUACUCUAAUACCGCAUACGACCUACGGGUGAAAGCAGGGGAUCUUCUGACCUUGCGCGAUUGAAUGAGCCGAUGUCGGAUUCGCUAGUUGGCGGGGUAAAGGCCCACCAAGGCGACGAUCCGUAGCUGGUCUGAGAGGAUGAUCAGCCACACUGGAACUGAGAAACGGUACAGACUCCUACGGGAGGAAGCAGUGGGGAAUAUUGGACGAUGGGCGAAAGCCUGAUACAGCCAUACCGCGUGGGUGAAGAAGGACUUCGGGUUGUAAAGCCCUUUUGUUGGGAAAGAAAAGCAGCAGGUUAAUACCCCGCUGUUCUGACGGUACCCAAAGAAUAAGCACCGGCUAACUUCGUG